ACAGAAAAUAUUCUGAGAUAAAUAAAAUGUACAUGGUUCUCUAAAAUAAAAUUGGAAAGAACAGGGGGGGGGGGAAUCUGGGACUUUCCAGUCUUUAUAAUAGCACGGUUACAUCCUAAAGAAAACCUGGAAAGUCCCAGAUUUUGUGCAUGUCCUUUCUAAUUUUAUUUAGGAGAUUCAUACAUAUUUUGGAGAUUUGACACAUUUUAUGUCAGCUCCCAGUAUAAUCAGAAACUUUUUUACACCAACUCCCCAGGUCUGUUUAUUUUCACCCAGUAUAAAAUUGGAAAAGACAGGAAUAAAAUCUGGGGCUUUUCAAUCAGUCUGGAGGUGUCCUAAGUUACAAAUCCUCUCCCUCUGAGAACUGCACUUGCAUCUAACAAGUAUAAGGACAUAGGCCACCAUGAAGCAAGACUCCAGCCAGAUUCUUAAGAAAAUCUCUGUUCCAGCCUUUCUCAACUUCUUUACCCUGGAGGAACCCUUGAAAUAAUGUUUGAGUUUGAGAAAACCUGUAUAAAAAUUAUUCUAUUUGCAGUUCAAAUUUGUGUAUUACUGUAUAUGUUGAUUUGUUUGUUUUAAUCAUAAUCUCUCAUGGAACAUAUAGUAGCCUCUCAGAAUCCUAAUGUUUUGGAAAAUCUGGUUGAAAAACUUUUCUCUGUACUCUUAGGUCCGAGUAUCAUAACCUCAAACUGCCUUGGUUUGGCUCCAACUGACUCAACUGUUUACAUUGGUCCAAAGUCAUGUUGCUUGGGAUUCUGGGGCAGAAUUCAGAGCAACCUGUGACUUUGCUUAAAGUGGUUCAAUGCUCCGUUAAGCAACUUUUACCUCACAUUAACCCAGAUUGGCUACAUCAGGCAUGGGCAAAUUUCCUGAGCUAUAUGGAACUGAUUCAGCUGACCUUCGCAGUUGUCAAUGUAGACUGCUUCUCCCUUUGGUCCAUAGCUUUCCUCACUUGCUGCAAACUGAGCUCAAAGCGCAACUCUUCAGUUUGUACUCAAUAAGGGCCCUUCCAGAAGGCCCUAUAUCCCAGGAUCUGAUCCCAGGUUUUCUCCCAGAUUAUCUGGCAGUGCAGACUCAUAUAAUCCAGUUUAAAGCAGAAAACCUGAGACCAGGUCCUGGGAAAUAGGGUCUGUCUGGAAGGACCCUAAAUCAGCAGGCGAGAGAGGAAAGGAAGGUUGGAAUUUUGGCUUUUCUAGCAGGCUCAGGCGAAAGCAAACCUCUGUAGCCUGUCCUAGUUUUUCUGUUUUUUAUUUAUUAUUUUUAUUUAUUACAAUACUUGUAUCCCUCCCUUCUCACCCAAUAGGGGACUCAGGGCGGCUUACAAUAAAACUUUUGUCUAAUCUUCCCCACAACGGCCCCAAUAGCUUCUUCCUCCUUGAGUAUAAUCAAUGCUAGCCAUCGUAUCCAAGUAAGAGAUUAAAAGAAGUGUGACAACUUUUGAUUAUAGCUGCAAAGAACUGUAAAACAAGGAGUGGCCAAUAGAUGUUGCUUGUUUUACUGAAUUGGACAGAAAAACAUCCUCAUGCAAAAACAUAUUCCUCAUCAACUCAUAAUUUUAUUUGCCAAUCCUUAAGUAAGUGCAACACACUCCUUGUAGAGAAAAGUGAAAAGUUUUUGCCACCUUGACCACACCCUGAUGAUGCUUUGUCACAUAUCAUAGUUUUCAUCUGUGGAAUGUUGGAAGGUAUGGAAUACUAAAUAAUGUUUUGAAACAGUUAAACAAGGUAAAGACAAAUCAAGUUUACUUUGUGUGCAUCAGAAAAAGCUCAGUUCCCGGUACCGGUAUCUGAUGACACAAAAUCCACUUUGGUAUCCUGCAGUCAUGCUGGCCACAUGACCUUGGAGGUGUCUACGGACAACGCCGGCUCUUCGGCUUAGAAAUGGAGAUGAGCACCAACCCCCAGAGUCGGUCACGACUGGACUUAACGUCAGGGAAAACCUUUACCUUUAUCCUGUAGUUUGCAAUUAAAUUUGGUGCUCUCGAAUAUUUUGAUCUAAGAAUACCAAAAAAUAAAAUAAAAUAAGUCCACACUGCACUGAUUCUUUCACUGAGCCAACGAAAAGGAGCAAAAUACGUCAUGCUAGUUUUCAAAGCUUUACAUGGUUCUUCAUCAGGCAGAGAUGGCAAAACAACAAAAUUCAAGAGUGAGUAUUUAUACACUGCUGAGAACAGAAGUUUGGAUUGGGCUCAUUUCCUCAUGUGCAAAGUCCUGUGCUUUUGGCAGCAGAGCGCUGAAUCUGCUCUACCCACACAUGCAGGAUGCACUGGCUUUCUGCGUACAGAAAGAUCCCAUAAAAGGGGAUUGCGCAUGCAAGAAAGGGAGCUUGUUUAAUCUACCAUUCCUUCACCCCUAUCUUGCAAAAGCCAGCAGUUCUUGUGUUAUGUUAUGCAUCCAGGACUGUUUUUCCAUAUGUGCUUUUGGAACAAGCAGAAGGGAUUUUCAAAUCUUUUCAAAUCCUUUCCUUACUUAGUUUAUCCAUACCUCACAACCUCUGAGGAUGCCUGCCAUAGAUGUGGGCGAAACGUCAGGAGAGAAUACUUCUGGAACAUGGCCACACAGCCCGAAAGACAUACAAUAACCCUAUUUUCAAAUCUGUUUGAAAUGGAGAGGAGAGGAAAGCCCUCUUUGUGUCUCUAGCAUCUUGUGUUAAUGAGUAAAAUAGAACACAUUUGCUGCAAAAUUAAUUGAAUUCUUAAAAGUAUGGUAAAUAAUAAGGUGUCCAGCAAUAAUAUUAAUAAUAAAUCAGUCUAACCAGGCAAGUUAAUAGAGACCUCUUAUUGGAUCUCCAACAUCUUUAAAAUUAGUAAAAAAAAAAAAAAACAGGAGGGAGGGAGAGAGAUUUGGAUCAGACACUUGGGGAAGGUGAAUGAACCACUUAUCUGCUGUCAUUCUCUUGGUAAUUACCCCUUCUUCCAAACUGUUUUCCUGAUUGGAAAGGAAUUUAAACAUGUGAAGGUUUUACAAAGGCAUGGGGUAAAAAACAUCUUUGAUGGCCAGUUUUCUUCAGGAAGACAACACUUUCCCUGUGCUGUGAUCCAAUCUAAAUCAGUGUCCCCAAGCAGCUGCUAGUUGACAUAUUUUGAAGAGAAAGAUCUGUGAUCAGGUCUCAAUUUUCUUCUCUCAUUAAAUGUUUAGUUGCCAGAGAGAUACUUAACUGUGUUACCAUAUACUUUAGGUAGUAUUUACAAAAAGAUGGAUUAACUGUACUUGAAAGUGAAACACAUACGUAUGUACUAUGUACAGUACUGCUUUUAUGUCAGUUUUUCUGAUGUUUCAAUGCUAAAGAGAUGCUUUAAAGUUACAGAUCUGAGAAGAAAAAGAAACUUGUGACUGACGCCCCAGGCAUCAUUACAGAAUUCAAGCAUGAAGAAGAAUGUAGUAAUAUCAAGCUAUCGUGAUGAAAGUAAACUGAUGGCAGGGGAUCCAUUCCUUGAUCUAAGCCAAGUUUGUCAGAAUGCCCUGAACCAAGUAUAGUACAAACCCAGUGAGAUAUGCAUUCCUGGAUUUCACAUAGAUAAAUAAAACCACGGAUAAUAUUGUACCCUAUUGAAAUGAAGGACUUCUGGUUAAAGAAUAUCAAAUAAUUUGCAUGGAAACCUAGAAAAUGCCUAGAGAUAACAUAUUUUGUUGGACAUAGAUAAACAAAAUCAUGGCUAUUGGUUCCACAGAUACAGGGAUGGUACUGUAUAGGUCGGUGCUUCUCAAAUUGUGUUCCUAGGGAUGUUUUGGACAUCCGCUCUCAAAAACCCCAGCCAGCUUACCAGCUGUUAGGGGUUAUGGGAGCUGAAGUACAAAACAUCUGGAGACACACAGUUUGAGAGACUGUAGUAUGGAUGUUCCACCCCAAUUUUUUAUGAAAUAUGAUGGAAAAGGGAGGAUAGUGACCUAGGCCCUUGGGUAGGAAAGGAACUAGAGAAUAAUGAAGUGGCCAAGGAAUGUGCAUUCUUACCUCUCCAGGUCUCUAAUUUCAGCCAAAGCUACUAAGAGAUCCAGAAACCGCUGGAUUCACACCAAGAGCUAACUGAAAGUACUGCAUUCACACCAGUGAUUAACCAUUCAUAAUUUCCUACACAGGACAAUUUGUGUGCAUGUGUGGGUGCAAAUAUACCUCUCACACACAGGCACAUAAAAGCUGCUCUUUGCGGAGAGUUGCCAUACUGCAAGAAACAUGGUUGUACAUCCAUAACUGUUGCUGUAGUACUAUGCAAAUCCCUAACAUAGUUAGGGCUUUGGAAAGUUUUUUCUCCUGCAACUGCGACUCUCAGAAUACCUCAGCCAGCCAGUAUUGAUUAUCCUUAUCAUUGUCCUGCCAUUUACUGAAUUUUAUAGGAGUUUUACAUGAUUUUGUUCUCCUCCUAUAUGCACACACCAGCUUCUUCUGUCUUUUUCUUCCCAUGAAAAAUUUUAAGGAGAGAAAAAAAACAAGUCAUUGGCAGAAUGGCUUUACAUUGUUAGUGUUCAAAGCUUUCAGUCUGGAAUGCCAUAAUCCACAAACAUAUGAAUGCUACAUGUGAAUAAACUAAUAGAUUGAGAUAGUUUGUAUCUAACUAUGUAACAUUGCAUCCAUUGGCAAUCACACAAUAUCUUUUCCUCAUUGCGGUAAGAGAGUAUGUUAUGGUUGAGCCUUAUGGCUCCGAUUCUGGGAGACGUAGUCGUAAGACUCCUCGGGAGUCAGACUCUCUUGAGGAGCGAGAAAGGAAGCGGCUGCGGGACUUAUUUGCAGAACCAACUGAUGAAGACUCCUUUGAGGGUUUUACCGAGGGAAUGGAGGAAGAGAUGGUUAGCUCAGAGAAGGAUGAUAUGGAAUGGACUCGUGUGAGGGAGGAUUUGGGUGCCACCGGCAAUGAUAGUAUGGGAGGCGACUGGGGGGUUGCAGGAUUAGACCCGUGGACGAGCUGGAGGGAUGGGACGGAAUCCACAGCUGGGGAUGCUGUGGGGCGUAGUCAAAGGUGUUUUAGCUCUGAUGAGGAGGAUGAUGAUGAGACACCUGGAAUUAGGGUAACAGCUGACAGCGAUGAGGAGUUGUAAACUGGCAUAAAAUGGGGUCUAGAAUCCAGGGCUAAUUGCAUUGGGCAAGGUAAUCUGGACGAACGCUUGGGCUCUUGUUGGGAAUUUCCUGAAGACGGGUGUGAUUCGUUUGCUGAAUACCUUGGACCUCCGUCGUCUUUUUGACGGACAUUAAUUGCCUACUCUGGAUUGACGCUGGACUGACUGACUGACUUCGACCUUGGACUAUCCCUUCUGUGAUUAUCGGUGGAACUGGUGAACUAAAGACGUCUGUACCUGGCCUUC